UCAUGUCUCGUUAGCGAUACGUAUUCGGCCUUUUUUCGGCAGCUAUUCAAACGAGAUACGCGAGGCGUCCAUUAUUCUCUUUGGCGAUCUAUGUGAGUCGAAAAAGGCACACGAUGCCAAUGGCAGCAUUUCGCCGAAUGCUUCCUCUACAGAGGCGCUGCGGGAGCAAUUAAUUGCAAACCUAUUUCCAAUUUUGUUACAUUUGAGUGAGGGUGAUGCGACAAUAAUUAGAGCAUGCAAAGGUACUUUACGAAAGGUUUGUGGCUUGUUGAAUG